UAACGAAUCUUCCGCAAUGCACGAAAGUGUGACGGAGCGACGCCGCGUGUGGGACGAAGUUCUUCGGAAUGUAAACCACUGUCAGGGGUUAGAAAGUUCUGAUCAACCCCAGAGGAAGGCACGGCUAACUCUGUGCCAGCAGCCGCGGUAAGACAGAGGUGCCAAGCGUUAGGCGGAAUCACUGGGCUUAAAGCGUGUGUAGGUGGACUGGUAAGUACCUUGUGAAAUCCCACGGCUCAACCGUGGAACUGCUUGGUAUACUGCUGGUCUUGAGCAACUUAGGGGCGAGCGGAACAAAUGGUGGAGCGGUGAAAUGCGUAGAUAUCAUUUGGAACGCCAAUGGUGAAAACAGCUCGCUGGGAGUUUGCUGACACUGAGACACGAAAGCUAGGGGAGCAAACGGGAUUAGAUACCCCCGUAGUCC
rnacentral:rRNA from 1 species